rnacentral:rRNA from 1 species
GCAACGGUGUUCUGUACACCGCCUUCGCCACAGGUGGUCUUCAAUAAUCAGGAUUUACCCUUCCUAUCGAGUACCGUGUACCCNNUCUCCCACUCCCUAGCUGCACAGUAUUUUCGGCGGCCUAUACGUUAAGCGCAUAGAUUUAACCGAAAACUUAUGCAACCGGCUACGGAUGCUUUAGGCCCAAUAAACCUCCUGACCACUCGAGGUGCUGGUUUUACCGCGGCGGCUGACACCAGAACUUGCCCACCCCUUAUUCACCAGUGAUUCUACAACUGACAAAGAUCCU